rnacentral:rRNA from 1 species
GUUUGGUCAGCGGCGGACGGGUGAGUAACACGUGGGCAACCUGCCCGCAAGACCGGGAUAACUCCGGGAAACCGGAGCUAAUACCGGAUAACACCGAAGACCGCAUGGUCUUGGGUUGAAAGGCGGCCUUAGGGCUGUCACUUGCGGAUGGGCCCGCGGCGCAUUAGCUAGUUGGUGAGGUAACGGCUCACCAAGGCGACGAUGCGUAGCCGGCCUGAGAGGGUGACCGGCCACACUGGGACUGAGACACGGCCCAGACUCCUACGGGAGGCAGCAGUAGGGAAUCUUCCGCAAUGGGCGAAAGCCUGACGGAGCGACGCCGCGUGAGCGAAGAAGGCCUUCGGGUCGUAAAGCUCUGUUGUGAGGGACGAAGGAGCGCCGUUUGAAGAAGGCGGCGCGGUGACGGUACCUCACGAGAAAGCCCCGGCUAACUACGUGCCAGCAGCCGCGGUAAUACGUAGGGGGCGAGCGUUGUCCGGAAUUAUUGGGCGUAAAGCGCGCGCAGGCGGUCUCUUAAGUCUGAUGUGAAAGCCCACGGCUCACCCGUGGAGGGUCAUUGGAAACUGGGGGACUUGAGGGCAGGAGAGGAGA